ACUUUUAAGCAAAUAGAACUUUCUUUAGAACUGGAUUUAUAAUUUUGUUGUUUGAAAAUAUUCUUAGAAAGUUAAACACACUCAAAUCAAGUUACUGCUAGGUCUUACAAACUCUUAGAAGAGUCACUUGGAUCUACACACUAACUGAAAACUGGUGCUCACAAUCUUUAAAAACAAACAAAAUAAAAAAAAAAAAACCAA